rnacentral:rRNA from 1 species
UACAGAGGUGGCAAGCGUUAAUCGGAAUUACUGGGCGUAAAGCGUGCGCAGGCGGUUAUGUAAGACAGGGGUGAAAUCCCCGGGCUUAACCUGGGAACUGCAUUUGUGACUGCAUAGCUAGAGUACGGUAGAGGGGGAUGGAAUUCCGCGUGUAGCAGUGAAAUGCGUAGAUAUGCGGAGGAACACCGAUGGCGAAGGCAAUCCCCUGGACCUGUACUGACGCUCAUGCACGAAAGCGUGGGGAGCAAACAGG